rnacentral:rRNA from 1 species
CCUACGGGAGGCUGCAGUGGGGAAUAUUGCGCAAUGGGGGCAACCCUGACGCAGCCAUGCCGCGUGUGUGAAGAAGGCCUUCGGGUUGUAAAGCACUUUCAGAGGGGAGGAAAGGGCGCUGGCUAAUAUCCAGUGCAGUUGACGCUACCCUCAGAAGAAGCACCGGCUAAUUCCGUGCCAGCAGCCGCGGUAAUACGGAAGGUGCAAGCGUUAAUCGGAAUUACUGGGCGUAAAGCGCGCGUAGGCGGCUUGGUAAGUCGGAUGUGAAAGCCCCGGGCUCAACCUGGGAACUGCGUUCGAUACUGCCGGGCUGGAGUACGAGAGAGGGGGGUGGAAUUCCAGGUGUAGCGGUGAAAUGCGUAGAGAUCUGGAGGAACACCAGUGGCGAAGGCGGCCCCCUGGUUCGAUACUGACGCUGAGGUGCGAAAGCGUGGGGAGCAAACAGGAUUAGAUACCCGGGUANUC